rnacentral:rRNA from 1 species
GACGAACGCUGGCGGCGUGCUUAACACAUGCAAGUCGAACGGAAAGGCCCUGCUUUUGUGGGGUGCUCGAGUGGCGAACGGGUGAGUAACACGUGAGUAACCUGCCCUUGACUUUGGGAUAACUUCAGGAAACUGGGGCUAAUACCGGAUAGGAGCUCCUGCUGCAUGGUGGGGGUUGGAAAGUUUCGGCGGUUGGGGAUGGGCUCGCGGCUUAUCAGCUUGUUGGUGGGGUAGUGGCUUACCAAGGCUUUGACGGGUAGCCGGCCUGAGAGGGUGACCGGCCACAUUGGGACUGAGAUACGGCCCAGACUCCUACGGGAGGCAGCAGUGGGGAAUAUUGCACAAUGGGCGGAAGCCUGAUGCAGCAACGCCGCGUGCGGGAUGACGGCCUUAGGGUUGUAAACCGCUUUCGCCUGUGACGAAGCGUGAGUGACGGUAAUGGGUAAAGAAGCACCGGCUAACUACGUG